CUAGUCAAGGCUUUAGUGACCGCCUACACCGCUUUUAAGAACCGAUUGCAGAUGAUAUGUUUUUGGGCCAAAAAAAAACUUGUCUCAAGAAAAGAAGACUUUGUUAGCAGACUAUUGUUGUUGUUGUUCGGAAGAAGACGCCAUUGACUCUUGGGUUUUGUAAGCAUACCUCAUGCAUAUGGUUGCACGUUCUCCACAUAACAUACAAUUCCAUACCUUAUGGAAACUCUUAGGAAGAUCUAUCGAAGUUAUAAAUGUGGAUAGACCUUUAUGAGACACUAUCACCUUGCUUUCACUCACCUUUUUUGCUCCAAAAAAUGCAGACUUCAUUUUAUUGGAGCACAACUAAUUUUGUAUAACGAACUAUAAAUUUGGACAGAAGAAUAUCGCAUGAGGUGGACUUGGAAGACCUUUAAUCCAAACGGAGUAGACUUGGGGUUUAAUAGGCAGAUUCUAAGUCAUGUACUUGGACCCUUUAGUAUAGUCCGCCAA